rnacentral:rRNA from 1 species
GACGAACGCUGGCGGCGUGCUUAACACAUGCAAGUCGAGCGGUAAGGCUCCUUCGGGAGUACACGAGCGGCGAACGGGUGAGUAACACGUGAGCAAUCUGCCCUUCACUUCGGGAUAACUCCGGGAAACCGGUGCUAAUACCGAAUACGACCACUUCAGGCAUCUGAUGGUGGUGGAAAGUUCCGGCGGUGAAGGAUGAGCUCGCGGCCUAUCAGCUUGUUGGUGAGGAAUGGCCCACCAAGGCAACGACGGGUAGCCGGCCUGAGAGGGUGACCGGCCACACUGGGACUGAGACACGGCCCAGACUCCUACGGGAGGCAGCAGUGGGAAUCUUGCGCAAUGGGCGAAAGCCUGACGCAGCGACGCCGCGUGAGGGAUGACGGCC